rnacentral:rRNA from 1 species
CCUACGGGUGGCAGCAGUGAGGAAUAUUGGUCAAUGGGCGCGAGCCUGAACCAGCCAAGUCGCGUGAGGGAUGAAGGUUCUAUGGAUCGUAAACCUCUUUUAUAAGGGAAUAAAGUGUGGGACGUGUCCUAUUUUGUAUGUACCUUAUGAAUAAGGAUCGGCUAACUCCGUGCCAGCAGCCGCGGUAAUCAGGAGGAUCCGAGCGUUAUCCGGAUUUAUUGGGUUUAAAGGGUGCGGAGGCGGCCUUUUAAGUCAGCGGUGAAAGUCUGUGGCUCAACCAUCGCAUUGCCGUUGAAACUGGGGGGCUUGAGUAUGUGUGAGGCAGGCGGAAUGCGUGGUGUAGCGGUGAAAUGCUUAGAUAUCACGCAGAACACCGAUUGCGAAGGCAGCCUGCCAAGCCAUGACUGACGCUGAUGCACGAAAGCGUGGGGAUCAAACAGGAUUAGAUACCCCAGUAGUC